GAUGAAGAACGCAGCGAAAUGCGAUACGUAAUGUGAAUUGCAGAUUUCAGUGAAUCAUCGAAUCUUUGAACGCACAUUGCGCCCGCUGGAACUCCGGCGGGCACGCCUGUCCGAGCGUCAUUUCAACCCUCAGGCCCCCCUUCGCGGGCGGGCCUGGUGUUGGGGCCCGGCCGCUACCCUGCGGCCGUCCCCUAAAUCCAGUGGCGGCCUCGCCGUGAUCCCUUGCGUAGUAAUGCACCUCGCACCGGAGAGCGCCGUGGCCACGCCGUAAAACCCCCAAUUUUCAAUGGUUGACCUCGGAUCAGGUGGGAAUACCCGCUGAACUUAAGCAUAUCAAUAAGCGGAGGA
rnacentral:misc_RNA from 1 species